GGGGGCGUAGCUCAGGGGUUAGAGCAGUCGGCUCAUAACCGAUUGGUCGCUGGUUCGAUCCCAGCCGCCCCCACCA
rnacentral:tRNA from 12 species